CAAGAUCUCGGAACGGCUCUGAGCCCUGCGCACGCGGGAAGGGCUGCCGGAGGCGCCCGUAGGGAGGCGCGCGCGCGGGCGGCUCAGGGCCCGCGUUCCUCUCCCUCCCGCCUACCGCCACUUUCCCGCCCUGUGUGCGCCCCCACCCCCACCACCAUCUUCCCACCCUCAGCGCCGGCGCCCCGCGGUGACGGCCCAGGGGCCGGACGCCUGGAACGCAACUCCAGGCAGCUCGCCCCCUAGCUACAUCCGUCACCUGACACGGCCCUACCAGGAACAGCCGCGCUCCCGCGGAUUCUGAUUUGGAAAACAAGCGAAAUUAAACGAAACCGCUGCACGCCUCUAACGCGACAUCUGGACACGGCGUGGCGCUGGCGCCGCCGGAGCUGCGGGCCCGGCCUGGCACCGGACUAGCUGGGAGACAGGAAAAGCGGUCCUGUUUGAGAACAGUAAAAGCAGGGCAAGGAAAGGAAGGAGCGGCAGAAAGGAGGGGCAGUGGGGCCCAUGGAAGUGGUGGUUAGGGCUGAAAAUCUACUGACAGAGCUUCAACAGAGCUGAAAUCCACCUGGACAGGGAAGGGAACCAGCCAUCUCAGCCUCAGCCUGGUACUGAACCCUUGCCAGAGAGGUGAUGUGGUCCUUUGGAGGAAAGAAGAAACAAGUUGGAUAUGGACAAGAUGUAAUUUCUUCUGUCAAGGAACCCACAGGAUAAUAGUCUCCCUUUUGAUGAGAAGAGUAAGCCUCAUUCUGAUUCAACAGCAGAGAUCAAAGAAAAGACUUCUGUUUUCUGGCCACCAGAUAUAUGUUAUCUGUGCUUAAAGAAUUGAAAAACACACAUCAAAGGAGAAUUCUCUUGGAAGGAGAGUUUCAGAGGGAAAUACCAGAUGCUGGUGAUUUGGUGAGAAAGAAGCAACUAUUUCUGUGAUUUAAUUUCAUCCUGAGCAUUAAAGAGGCACCCUUUCACUACUAUUGGUAACUCCGUGCUUCCAAGAACUAAUGAGCUGAAGAACUUAGCACUUGUGAUGGAUUAGUCAAGCAAAAAUUAUGAAGGUUCAAGCAUUAUUGUUAGGUGUGCUGGAAUCCUUUCCCGAGUCAGUACUGCUUUCUAGAACAAAACUGGGGAGAUCUAUUUGGAAUGUAUCUACUCCAAAGAAACCAUCAGAGCCACAGCUACCUUCCAGAUGACUUCUUUCUACCACUUUCUUUCUUCCCAGUGUAAGAGAAUGCAAGUAUAUGCUGAUGUUUGGAGCAAGAACAUUCAAAAAUUUUCUUAUUAACGUAACUUCUAAUGGAAAUACAGUAUACUACUAUGGUGCAUACAAAGAAGAAAUAACAACGUAUGUUUGUUUUA